UUGGAGGGCAAGUCUGGUGCCAGCAGCCGCGGUAAUUCCAGCUCCAAUAGCGUAUAUUAAAGUUGUUGCAGUUAAAAAGCUCGUAGUUGAAUUUCGGGGUUAGUAGGUUGGUCAUGCCUCUGGUAUGUACUGGUCUCACUGAUUCCUCCUUCCUGAUGAGCCGUAAUGCCAUUCAUUUGGUGUUGCGGGGAAUUUGGACUGUUACUUUGAAAAAAUUAGAGUGUUUAAAGCAAGCUAACGCUUGAAUACAUUAGCAUGGAAUAAUGAAAUAGGACGUUCGAUCCUAUUUUGUUGGUUUCUAGGAUUGACGUAAUGAUUAAUAGGGAUAGUUGGGGGCAUUAGUAUUCAAUUGUCAGAGGUGAAAUUCUUGGAUUUAUUGAAGACUAACUACUGCGAAAGCAUUUGCCAAGGAUGUUUUCAUUAAUCAAGAACGAAAGUUAGGGGAUCGAAGACGAUCAGAUACCGUCGUAGUCUAAACCAUAAACUAUGCCGACUAGGGAUCGGAUGAUGUUAAUUUUUUAAUGACUCAUUCGGCGCCUUACGGGAAAC
rnacentral:rRNA from 1 species